CUCGUAGGCGGCCAACUAAGUCGGACGUGAAAUCCCUCGGCUCAACCGGGGAACUGCGUCCGAUACUGGAUGGCUUGAAUUCGGGAGAGGGAUGCGGAAUUCCAGGUGUAGCGGUGAAAUGCGUAGAUAUCUGGAGGAACACCGGUGGCGAAGGCGGCAUCCUGGACCGAUAUUGACGCUGAGGAGCGAAAGCCAGGGGAGCAAACGGGAUUAGAUACCCCGGUAGUCCUGGCCCUAAACGAUGAAUGCUUGGUGUGGCGGGUAUCGAUCCCUGCCGUGCCGGAGCUAACGCGUUAAGCAUUCCGCCUGGGGAGUACGGUCGCAAGGCUGAA
rnacentral:rRNA from 1 species